rnacentral:rRNA from 1 species
UUAGGUCGGGAACUCAAAGGAGACUGCCAGUGAUAAACUGGAGGAAGGUGGGGAUGACGUCAAGUCAUCAUGGCCCUUACGACCAGGGCUACACACGUGCUACAAUGGCGCAUACAAAGAGAAGCGACCUCGCGAGAGCAAGCGGACCUCAUAAAGUGCGUCGUAGUCCGGAUUGGAGUCUGCAACUCGACUCCAUGAAGUCGGAAUCGCUAGUAAUCGUGGAUCAGAAUGCCACGGUGAAUACGUUCCCGGGCCUUGUACACACCGCCCGUCACACCAUGGGAGUGGGUUGCAAAAGAAGUAGGUAGCUUAACCUUCGGGAGGGCGCUUACCACUUUGUGAUUCAUGACUGGGGUGAAGUCGUAACAAGGUAACCGUAGGGGAACCUGCGGUUGGAUCACCUCCUUACCU